AUUCUAACUGGGAGCACUUAUUGGAUAUGUAAGAACCAUAAGUACUCUCUGUUAGGAUGA
rnacentral:pre_miRNA from 1 species